GAUCCUUUCAAGAUGAACUUGCCAAGAUCUGUAAUUCCUUGCUAGCAUCUGUUUAGAAAUAACAGUGUUUCCAAAAUUUGGUAGAGAAGAUGCAAGUUUGGAAACAUGAGCUUCUUGUGUGUCGGAGGUUGAAGGUUGUUCAGCUUUCAAUUUCUUUUCAGCCUGGACUCGGAUAAAGACAUUACCAAUGAUGUGGUCAGGAUGGUUAGAUGAUGUCAUUCGGGUUAUAUUGUUAAUACUAUUAAAUACUCUUUCCUGUUCUUCUGUGUUUGUAGAUCGGCCGCUUAUUAAUCUGUUCUGGAUUGGUGCAUGUGCUGUAAUGUUGUGGAAGUAGUUACCAUAAAACUUCCGAGUUGACAUUUGCUUCAGGGAAAAUCCGAUAACUGACCUGCACAACAUUGCAUGAUGAAAGAUUGAUCUGGCAUUCAACUCCCUGAUCAAGUUGGGUUUUGUUAAUCCAUGGAAAGGUUUAUUUGACUUUGCCAAAGAAUUUGCUGCACCGCAUGGGCCUUUAAACACCAACUGCUGUCGAUCCUCCAAUGAUACGUGUGGGCAACGAAACACAUAAUCAAGUUCAUACACCCGAUGAGCAUUGGCACCACAGAUGGCACAGUAGAAAUUCCCACCCUUCUGUUGGCCAGCUUCAUAUUGACGAGAAGGACUGUCACCAUGGAAGAACCUCAUCUUGUCUGAAACAGGAUGAUGACCUUGCAACGAUGUACAGACUUGGUGCUUCAACCAAUGACUGGAUGUUGACCUUUUUUCCAGUGAUGGCUUCGUAUUCACUGUUGGUAUAGAAUGUGGCUUGGUCAUACAAGCAGGUUGCCAUAAAGACAAGGUGGGAAUGGUUUGCAACUGUAGAUAGGUCAUGCCAUACGAGUAGAUGCCGUGUUCUUUCCAUUACCUUCAGCCGCUCUCUCAUAUCUGUUUCAUCCUCACCCUCUUUUCUCUCAUUUAGCAUUGUCAACCUGUUCUCAACUUCUGUCACACUCAUGCUAUUCACAUCUUUUUCAUCAUUAAUCCGCAUAAAUUUCUCCAACUCAUGUAGCUUUCUUCUCCUGAUCUCAACCAG